CCCAGGUCCAGUCUUGUGCCCCUCCGCCCCAGGUCCAGUCUUGUGCCCCUCCGCCCCAGGUCCAGUCUUGUGCCCCUCCGCCCCAGGUCCAGUCUUGUGCCCCUCCGCCCUAGGUCCAGUCUUGUGCCCCUCCGCCCAGGUCCAGUCUUGUGCCCCUAGCCCCUCCGCCCCAGGUCCAGUCUUGUACCCCUAGCCCCUCCGCCCCAGGUCCAGUCUUGUACCCCUAGCCCCUCCACCCCAGGUCCAGUCCUGUACCCCUAGCCCCUCCACCCCAGGUCCAGUCCUGUGCCCCUACCCCAGGUCCAGUCCUGUGCCCCUCCGCCCCAGGUCCAGUCCUGUACCCCUAGCCCCUCCGCCCCAGGUCCAGUCCUGUGCCCCUCCGCCCCAGGUCCAGUCCUGUGCCCCUCCGCCCCAGGUCCAGUCUUGUGCCCCUAGCCCCUCCGCCCCAGGUCCAGUCUUGUGCCCCAGGUCCAGUCUUGUGCCCCUAGCCCCUCCGCCCCAGUCUUGUGCCCCUAGCCCCUCCGCCCCAGGUCCAGUCUUGUGCCCCAGGUCCAGUCUUGUGCCCCUAGCCCCUCCGCCCCAGGUCCAGUCCUGUGCCCCAGGUCCAGUCCUGUGCCCCUCCGCCCCAGGCCCAGUCCUGUGCCCCUCCGCCCCAGGCCCAGUCCUGUGCCCCUCCGCCCCAGGCCCAGUCCUGUGCCCCUCCGCCCCAGGCCCAGUCCUGUGCCCCUCCGCCCCAGGCCCAGUCCUGUGCCCCUCCGCCCCAGGUCCCAGUCCUGUGACCCUCCACCCCAGGCCC
rnacentral:lncRNA from 1 species